UACGUAGGUGGCAAGCGUUGUCCGGAUUUACUGGGCGUAAAGGAUGCGUAGGCGGACAUUUAAGUCAGAUGUGAAAUACCCGAGCUUAACUUGGGUGCUGCAUUUGAAACUGGGUGUCUAGAGUGCAGGAGAGGUAAGUGGAAUUCCUAGUGUAGCGGCGAAAUGCGUAGAGAUUAGGAAGAACACCAGUGGCGAAGGCGACUUACUGGACUGUAACUGACGCUGAGGCAUGAAAGCGUGGGGAGCAAACAGG
rnacentral:rRNA from 1 species